GGUGGCUAGGCACGGCUGCCCGCCCUGGGGCUCGAUCCUCGGGCUGCUCGUGCUGGCCUUGGCUGCCGCCGCCGCCUGGGACGUGUCUUUUCUGCGAUGCAGUUUAGGGUCCUUCUGCGAAUGUGACUUCUGGCCCGACUUGCCUGACAGAGCCUUUCUACAUUGAUUUGGCUGUUCUGGACCUCACUGUGUGGACCAAGCUGGUCUCAAACUCACAGAGAUCCACUUGGCUCUGCCUCCAGAGUGCUAAGGGAUUAAGGGUUUGCACCAUCAUAUCCCGACUGAUUUAUAUGUAUAAAAUAUAUGUAAUAUGUAUAUAAUAUAUAUGUAUAUUUGCUUACAAGUAUGUGUAUGUACCAUGUGUACCAAGGAAGUUAGAAGGUGUUGACUCCUGGGAUAGAGUUACAGAUAGUUGAGAGCUAACAUGCAGGUGGUAGGAAUCAAACUUACUUAGAUUCUCUGCCAAAGCAACCAGUGUUUUUUUGUUUGUUUGUUUGUUUGUUUUUUGAGACAUGUAGCUCUGCUUGGCCUGGAAUU
rnacentral:lncRNA from 1 species